CCCACGUGCCUCCUUUAGCGCCAGCCAAGCUCUGCUGGCUACUGCUGACAGCUGAUUAGGGUUUGCGGUGGUGGGGUCGCUGCCCUGGGAGAAGGGGCUGCGCUGAUAUCUUCCUUGAUCCCUGCAACAUCCUCUACUCCUGGGUCAUCGAGAACCAGGACUUCACCUUGGAGCGCCCGGUAGUAUCAAGGGCAAACACCCCCAGCUGUGGGUCCCAUUCCAUCCUACCUCCAAUCUGCUGACCCUAACUAACAGCUACCUGAAAGCACUCAAGGCUGAGAAGUGAGGAGACCUCAGGAGUGUGAGCAGGAAUCCCGGUUAUAAGGUUCGGCUGUGAUCCAAACUGAGGGCCAGUACAUGGGUCCAAGUCUGGCAGAGUGACCUGGAAAGAUAGCUGACACUUCUGAGGAUGAGUGGAAUCAUGCAAGUGGAGUCCAGGACCUGAAGGACUUAAAGGUGAAUGCCACCUAGGAAGCCUAGAGGAAGAACCCUGGCCCCUACACUACCCAGCCCAAGGCCUGACUAGCAGAGCUCAGAGAGCUGGCUGGGAUGAGAACUUGAAUGGCAGGUCUAAGGAUGCCCUGUUGUGAGUGGAGGCACCUGAGGAGAGCCACAUCUCAGAGCUACCUCUCCCAGGCACAAAUGGCUGGCAUUACCUCCGGACCUGGUUCCCUCAAGCUGAAGGUCAAGAAGGACAGGACAUCGUGGUCAUCUGGAAGAGGGACAGGUGAAGGGGAGAUAAGGAGCUUUUCACCCAGCAGCCCAUCCAUCCGGACUCUACUGUCUGCCAGGAAAACGAGAGGCUUGUGUGACUCUUGGCAACUCUGACUUUUGUCUCAUGGGGAAGGAUCUUUCCAUGGCUCCCCAGUACCCAGGGUCGAAAGACUAAAGUCCUGGCAUUCGAGGCUCCCAUACUCUGGCUGCAGCCUGCUUUUCAGCUGGAGGACCCUCCACAGGCUCUCCACUAAACGCUAUCCUGAUGUUCAGUUCUCUGCUGUAGCUCAUGCUGUCCCCCUUUUUACCAUCCUACAGUAUCCAGUAAAGUGGGUUUAUGAAUAUUGAUACUAGAAUACAAAAUGCCUUGUGUGUUAUCUCCUUGGAGACCUUUUUGUUUCUUGAGACAGGGUUUCAUGUAGCCCAGGUUGACCUCUGAAUUUGCUAUGUAGCAGAGGAUAACUUUGAACUGAUCCGCCCACCUCUAUCUCCCAAGUGUUGUGAUUGCAGGCAAGCACCACCACACCUGGGAUCCGAAUGCUGCUUGAACACUCACCAACACAGUGACAUUCCUAGUGUCCCAUUUGAGACUUUCAAUAGCUCUUCAAGGCCAAUGUGACCUCCUGACUGAGAAGCCAGGGAGGGAGUGUGACCAGCCCAGACCACCUGGUGAAGUAGUUGACCCCAUACAAAAGUGUUUUAGAAGCUACAAUAAGGUCUUGUCAUCAUCAAACACAGCCCCCUGCUCUUACUUACCUGGUAAGGUCCUCACCUGCUAGGAUGCUGGUGGCUGCUGAGACCCCAAAGAAGCCUCCAGGGGCCAAAAGCAGGGGCUCCACACUGACACAGACCUCUUCAGGGUCAUUGGGAAUAAGGCCUCCACUCAAGGACACCUGAGGGGUAUGGAGGGAGUGAGCGCCUGCCUCUGCCUGGUCCCAGAAUAAGAGACUGACCCCUACUCUGAUUCACUGGCUCCCCAGACCUACGGUAAGAUAGAAACUACAUGGCUUAGGAUCAGAAUGGCAUGAAAAUGACAGGGAGGCUGGUUUCAUGUGAUCCUUGUAUGUUCUGGGUCUGAUGAGAUUCUUUGUAUGAAGGGCUCAGCGGUUAAGAGUAUUGACUGCUCUUCCAGAGGACCUGGGUUCAAUUCCCAGCACCCACAUGGCAACUCACAACUGUCUGUAACUCCAGUUUCAGGAGACCCAACACCCAUGGCAAAACACCAAUGCACAUAAAAUAAAUUAAAAAAAAUAAAGAUCUGUUAAGAUUUUUUGUAUGAAACUCAAGCCCACAUGGAUCAAAGACCUCAACAUAAAUCCAGAGAAGGGGGCAUGGAUAUCCUUGAAUGCACUGGUACAGCAAACAACUUCCUGAACAGAACACCAUAGUGCAGGCACUAAGAUAGGCAAUUAAUAAAUGCGACCUCAUGAAACCGAGAAGCUUCUGUAAGGCAAAGGACACUGCCAAUAAGACAAAACGGCAGCCUACGGAAUGGGAAAAGAUCUUCACCAACCCCACAUCUGACAGAGGGCUAGUUUCCAAAAUAUAUAAAGAACUCAAGAAACUAGACAUCAAAAAACCAAAUAAUCCAAUCAAAAAAUGGAGGUACAGAUUUAAACAGAGAAUUCUCAACAGAGGAAUCUCAAAUGGCUGAGAAACACUUACGUUCAACCUCCUUAGCCAUCAGGGAAAUGCAAAUCAAAACUACUUUGAGAUUUCAUCUUACACCUGUCAGAAUGGCUAAGAUCAAAAACACAAGUGACAGCUCAUGCUGGCAAGGAUGUGGAGCAAGGGGAACACUCCUCCAUUGUUGGUGGGAGAGCAAACUUGCACUUUAGAAAUCAAUAUGGCAGUUUCUCAGAAAAUUGGCAAUCAAUCUACCUCAAUACCCAGCUAUACCACUCCUGGGCAUAUACCCAAAGGAUGCUCCAUCCUACCACAAGGACACUUGCUUAACUAUGUUCAUAGCAGCUUUAUUCAUAAUAGCCAGAAACUAGAAACAACCUAGAUGUCUCUCAACUGAAGAAUGGAUAAAGAAAUUGUAGUAUAUUUACACAAUGGAGUAUUAAUCGGCUGUUAAAAACAAUGACAUCAUGAAAUUUUCAGGCAAAUGGAUGGAACUAGAAACAAUCAUCCUGAAUGAGAUAACCCAGACCCAGAAACACAAACAAGGUGUGUACUUACUUAUAAGUAGAUAUUAGCUAUGAAGUAAACGAUAAUCAUGAUACAAUCCACAGGCCCAGAAAAGCUAAGUAACGAGGAGGACUCAAGGGGGUAAUGCAUGGAUCUCCCCAGGAAGGGGAAAUAGAAGAGACAUCAAGGGUGGAGGGAGGUGGUGGUCGAGUAGACAGGAAGAGGAGGGAUCAGGUCUGGGGGAGGAUGAAGGGAGAGAGUACUGGGAGAGACAACGGAAUGGGGGGACAUCUUGGUGAUGAGCUAGAAACCUAGUGCAAUGGAAAUUCCAAGGCAUCUAUGCGGGUGACCAUAGCUAAGACUCCUAGAAACGGGGGAUGCAGAGCCUAAACUGCCCAUUUCCUGUAACCAGACAGCACUUCCAGUGGAGGGAUUGGGACACCAAUCCAGCCACAUAACCGUUGAUCUACAAUUUGUCCUGACUACAGGAUACGCUGGGGUAAAGGUGGCACAGAAAUUGUGCGAGUGGCCAACCAAUGACUGGUCUAGCUUGAGACCCAUGCCACAAGAGGGAGCUCACCCCUGACACUGCCUAGAGCACCAGGACCCAGAGGCUGGACGGCCCAGAGACCUAGGAUAGAACCAAACAAGACUAGAGGGAAAAAAAGUCAAUGAACUGAUUCCUAAUGAUAUUCUGCU